UUCAUGUAGUACUGAACUUUGUAAAGUAUAUUUUUUUAGGAAACUCGGUAUUUUUUUGUUUUUGUUUUUUAGUUUUUUGUUUUUCUAAAGAAAACUGCUUUGUAAAAACUGCAAUAGAAUGAAAAUUUGAAAUUGAGAUCUUCGCUGAAAAAUGGUUCAACUGAGGUGCGAGGAAAAGUCUCUUUUCUCUUAGGUGAAUGUCUAGCAUUAUUACAGAGCUAAGCUAGACCGUUACAGACAGAAAAGAUGAAAGGCAUAUGAGCUUAGUACUGUUCUGAGAAGAAGCUGUGGACUCUGGGGCAAUGUCAGCUUACAGAAUGCUGCCUGUGCAUAACUACUAGAGGAAUUUAAAUGAGUGUCAUUCUCUGAUUAUCUGCAGUCUGACCUUGUAAAUGAAUGCGGUUCAAUGACACAACACUUUGGUUUACAUAUGCUAAUACAAUAGUAACAUCAAUUGUUUUCUUUUUAUAGUUACAAUGUCGGUCGUUCUCUUACUAGUGUGUCCUAGAAAUGUCUGGAAAGUUACAAUAAUAUUUAUGUUUGUUUGGGUUACUUAAUAUAUUCCUGAAACCUACCGCAUGCAAACAUGGUCACUCUAGAGGAGCCUUCUUCAGUCAUACGUGCACCAUAAAAUCACCUAGGUUGGUUUCACAACUCUUGAAAUACAGCCAUACACAAGAAACAAUCAAAUAUGAGUUACCAUGGGGUAAAAUUUGUGAAUUUUUACUUUUUUUAUUAGCUAUUUACUCAAUUUACAUUUCAAAUGUUGUCCCCUUUCCUGGUUUCCCUUCAGAAACUCCCUAUCCCUCCCCUUCCCCUUGCUCACCAAGUCCUGAGUUCCUUCUCAUGGAUAGAAUCAUACAUGAUUUUUAAACCCUGUUUAGGAUUAAAAAAAUACAAACUCAGGGAUUAGCCCUAGACUCAUAGGUGACUCUGUAGAUGUAGAUGGCAUCUGGGCCUAGAGAACCCUAAGCCUGCUUGUCAGAAUCGUUCUGGGGAGUGGGGUUGUCAGGUUUCCAUGGCAGCUACCUGGGCAUUUAAAGGGUCUAGCCCGUGGUUGAGAAGCUAGAAAAGUGAACACAGACAUCCCCAUCAUCAGUUUUGUAUUACCUAAGCAAGCUCUAUUAAGAAUGAGUGGCGGGGGCCUCUCUUCCCAGUGAUGGCCAGGGAAUGCCAGGGCCAAGAAGCGGGAGUGGGUGGGUAGGGGAGCAGGGCGGGGGGAGAAUAUAGGGAACUUUCAGGAUAGCAUUUGAAAUUUGAAAUGUAUAUAAAGAAAAUAUCUAAUAAAAAAAAGAAUGAGUGGCAGGAAAGUAAACGUUUUUUUGCUGCUUACACAUCCAACUUCACUGGCAAUCCACCAACCUGUGCCAACCCAUGAACCUCCGACUCCCAGAAGGAAAACCUCGACCUAUUAUUUUGACUGCAGCAGACAGAUUGCUAAAUACUUAUGUGGGUUUUGUAAGAAUAAAACUCCAAGAAGAGGAACCUUGCAUUAAGAAAAACACACACAUACACACACAUAUGCACACAUACCUCCACCUGCACACACAGGUACACAGGCUCAUGCAUGCACACACUUGCAUACAUACACGCACACAUGCACUCAUACCUGCACCUGCACACCCAGGUACACAGACUCUCUCUCACACACACACACACUACACACUAUACUGAGAUAAAACACUGAAGCAGUAAUCCAGAGUUUUCCAUACGCAUAGUGAUCUUCCUGUCUUACCUGAAUUACCAGCAAAAUUGUUGUCAUUACCUCACAGCAGCAGAAAAAUAUAGGAAAAGAUUUGAGUUUAUGCAUCUUACAUGAACUUUUUAUUUGGAAAAUAUAAUGCCAAUGCUGUACUCUCUUGAUUUGGAUACAAAGUGUUGUUACUGUAUAAUACGAAGGCAUCGAAAUGAUGACACCCCAGGAUAUAAUGACUGUUUCUAGAUGUGAUGACAUGACUAACCACAGACAGCAGUAAUCUUGUGUUAGUUUCACUCAUGCAAUAGCUUUACAGCUUCUUAUAUGGUACAUUUUAACUUUGUAAAGUCAUGCAGUUAUGAAAGCAAUAUUUGUACAAAUGCAAAGCAAGAUCUCUCUUACAUACUGUUGAUAAGAACAUGUUGAUUGUACAUUAAGUAUUAAAAAUUGGAUUAUGUUCUUCCUUGCUUGCUACUCCUAAGAACUUAAUGAUUUUUGCAUUCUUUGUUAACAGUGCAGUGUGCUUUCUGUUAUUAUUCAUAUCUGACUAUAGAUACUUUCUUGACUUUUUCUUGUUUUCAAAUUUAUUUUGACUUAACUUGCUGAUUUUGUGGUGCUGUGUGGACCAAUGAGCUGUAUUCCCCACCCCAACUGAAAACAUUUUUAAAAAAUUAAUAAACCUUAUUUUC
rnacentral:lncRNA from 1 species